rnacentral:rRNA from 1 species
UACGUAGGGUGCAAGCGUUAUCCGGAAUUAUUGGGCGUAAAGAGCUCGUAGGCGGUUUGUCGCGUCUGCCGUGAAAGUCCGGGGCUUAACUCCGGAUCUGCGGUGGGUACGGGCAGACUAGAGUGCAGUAGGGGAGACUGGAAUUCCUGGUGUAGCGGUGAAAUGCGCAGAUAUCAGGAGGAACACCGAUGGCGAAGGCAGGUCUCUGGGCAUUAACUGACGCUGAGGAGCGAAAGCAUGGGGAGCGAACAGG